rnacentral:lncRNA from 1 species
AACCCCCCUUCACUGGGCUGCGAUCAAAGGACAUCUGGAGGUGCUGCAGCUCCUGAUAGACCACGGAGCCAGGCCCUGCCUGGUCACUGAUGUGGGCUGGACCCCAGCUCAUUUUGCAGCUGAGUCGGGCCACCUGCAUGUGCUCAAAACGCUGCACGCGCUGCACGCCGCCAUCGAUGCCCCGGACUUCUUUGGAGACACGCCGAAGAGGAUCGCGCAGAUCUACGGGCAGAAGGCCUGUGUGGCCUUCCUGGAGAAAUGACAGAGGUGCCCUGGCUGUGUACAGAAGGCAGAGGAGAGGUCCCUCCGCAGGCCAGGCAGGCUGUCUGGUCCCCAGAUUGUGGGCUGAGAGCUGGCUCCCUUCUUCUAGGGCUGAGCCUCAGUGCCGGGACCACCGCCAGGCUGCCAGGCAGAAGGGGCUGCAGCUGGAUCAGCGGGACGAAGACUGGGAUGCCAAGAAGAGGGAGAUGGAGCUGUCGCUUCCUUCCUGGAAUCCAAACCCUGAGAAGAAAAAGAGUAAGAAACAUCGAGGGUCCACCAAGCUCAGCAACACUAAGGAGAGGAGAGCGUGAGAGGAUGGCCUCCGAGGGAUGGGAGCCUCUGAGGGAUGGCAGGAGACUUUCCCUGGUGCCAGAAUGGUUAUUAGGUAUGUGUCCUCCUGCUCCAUCCUAGACCAUUAAUUAUCCAGACAGCUUCUACCUGUAUCUCCUGACCUAUCAUUCAGCCUGGAAGUCUUGCCUGGACUCUCUACAUGGGCUGUCCCCUCCUUGCUAAUACCUGCUUGUCCCCAAGAAUGACCAGGAGGGAACAAAUGUGAUUUGCACUGUCGUCACUGCUUUGUACUGUCAGCAUCUCCUGAGCCCCUCAAUGCAAUUCUAGAGCUCCAGGCGCAAAGAAAAAUCUCCUCCUGAGGAAACUUCAUUGUUUCAAUGCAAAAAAAAAAAAAAAAAAAGCAACAACUGUAUCUGAAAAAUCUUCAACAUUCUCAGGUCAGUUAAUCUAUGAACAAAAGUUUGUUGUCACAUAGACCAAGCACAAAGAGGAAGAGAUGGGUCUUAGUUUCCAGCUAUUUAUUCUUAUGAGGGAUAGAAAACCACAAUUUCAGCAGGGCCAUUUUUACCACCAAUCCCUUCUACGUAGGAGAAAACAACCCGGACAAUAGACCAGCUCAGUGAGAAAUAAAAACCUUGGUUUAAUCUCUUCCCACUUAAUAAUGACACAUGGCAUAAAAUAAUGGAACAUGUGAUGACAGCUCUGUUUGAUCAGUGGUAUAUUUUAGAAAAUCUAAAUACAGAUCAGAUGCUGCCAAUGAAAAUAUUGCAUUGGCAUUGAGAUGCACUGUAAAUGUAAAAUGCGUAUUAUAUUUUGAAGACCUAGGAUAAAAAAUCAUGAAUCAUUAAUAAUAAUUAAUACUAAAUGUUAAAAUUUUUUUUUGGUCUUUUUGUCUUUUCUAGGGCCACACCCGUGGCAUAUGGAGGUUCCCAGGCUAGGGCUCUAAUCGGAGCUGUAGCUGCCAGCCUACACCACAGCCACGGCAACGAGGGAUCUGAGCCGCAUCUGUGACCUACAUCACAGCUCACGGCAAUGCCGGAUCCUUAACCCACUGAGUGAGGCCAGGGAUCAAACCCAAAACCUCAUGGUUCUCAGUCGGAUUUGUUAACCACUGAGCCACAAUGGGAACUCCUAUUUUGGAUAUUAUAUUAACUAAAAGACUGUUUAAAAUUAUAUAAGUGGCUCCCCCCCACCCCCACCCCCGCCAUCAGAUAGCAGUGCAGUAGAAACUGAACCAUAUUUAGAGCCUCCACCAGGCAGCUGGGCUGGAGCACUUGAAGUGGCUAGUUUCUAGUUCUGCUUCCUUACUCAGAAAAUCAGCGAUACCGCUUUCAUAAUGAGUUCCUCUUUUGCUGACAGUAUGGUGAAUUAAUUGUUUUCCUCCUAAAACCAGUCUUUCUUAGUAAGCACAACCUUUAAAGAUCACAGACUUAUGAGUUAAGCAGACUUAGGUUUGUAUCCUCCUCUAGGAAAUAAGCGAAAUAAUCCUUACUUCCUGGGAUUGCUGUGCAGGAUGAGAUGAUGCAUAAGGUGCUCGCAGCGGCACUCUGUAACUGGUCCAGGUAAUGGCUAUUGUAUUACUAUAGGAGUGAGUUCAGCUUUUCUUGAGAAUUCCAAAGGGAUCCAGGAAGGAUGCCUGGCGCUCCAUUGUCCAGGCGCUCCAUUGUCCAGUCCAUAAAUAUCCCCUGCCUAGUUUCAUAGCAUGGAUAAGAGCCUGCCUUCCACUGUCUGGAAAGACCUGGACCAAACACUGGUAAAUGUUCUUAGGGUCCUUUGCUGGGUCCAUAACCCCCUGCCACCCAGCAUCCUCACUGAGUCCCCCUUCAAUGUUAACCUCAUCAAAGCAUGAGGAGAAGUUUAUUUCUUGUCCCACCAGUUUUUGUACAGUUUAUGAGGACCACAGAAAGAGGACAUGGAAAUAGCUUCCUUGUAUGAAGAAUCUGUUGGGAUGCAGAUUCUGUACUAAGCACUAUAUGUGCAUUAUUUCGAAUCUGCAUGACACACCUGCAAGGUGGAUAUCAUUGUCCCCAGUUGACACCACAAACUAAAAUUCUGAGAGGUUGAGUGACUUUGUCCUAGGCCACCUAGCUGAUGCUUAUAAAACCUUUAAAGUAUGCCUGAAUUGGGUGGAGCGCUAACCCUUCAGGCUGUGUGAGCUCGGGUGGGUUGCUUAACUUCUCUGUUUUCCCUGUCUGUAACUUGGGGAAAAUACAGUGUGUCAUGAGGAAGACAAUGAGAUAAGCAUCACACAUUUAGUAUAAAGCUCCCCUAUUGAAGGGUCUUUAAAUUACAUGGAAAUCUUUUCUUGGCCAUUGAAAUUUUUCAUAUCUUAGUAUUUUUUUUUUUUUUUUUAUUUUAACAGCUGCACCUGCAGCAUGUGGAAGUUCCCCGUCUAGGGGUUGAAUUGGAACUGCAGCUGCAGACCUACACCACAGCCAUGGCAACCCUGGAUCCAAGCACAGCUUGUGGCAAUGCCGGGUCCUUAAUCCACUGAGUGAGGCCAGGGAUUGAACCCGCACCCUCAUGGACACUAUGUCAGGGUCUUAACCCACUGAGCCACGGUGGGAACUCCCUCAUAUCUUAUUAAAAAAAAAUCAGUAUUUACUGAACAGAUUCUGUAUCAGAAAACAGAGCACAAGGUGUAUCUUCAUGAAAUAAAACAUGAAACACGCAGUCAAUGAUUUUAUUAUUUGGCAUUAGGAUAUCAAAGAAGUUUGUAAGAUUGUUUUUCCAGCAUAAAUUCCUUGGCAUUGCUUGAGAGAGCAUCUCAAACAGCGUGAAUAACAAACACAUUGUUAAAAUUUUCUCUUACCAGUGUUCUGACUUUCGUCUUUGAUCUUAUGAAUUUAGGCCAACACUUUGUUUUCUGUUUCUGUCCUGUAUACUCCGUUGGCAGGCAACACUUAAAAGCCCUGCGAAGAGAAACUUUGUGGGUGAAGACAA